AUUGAACGCUGGCGGCAUGCUUUACACAUGCAAGUCGAACGGCAGCGCGGGGCAACCUGGCGGCGAGUGGCGAACGGGUGAGUAAUAUAUCGGAACGUACCCAGAAGUGGGGGAUAACGUAGCGAAAGUUACGCUAAUACCGCAUACGAUCUACGGAUGAAAGUGGGGGAUCGCAAAACCUCAUGCUUUUGGAGCGGCCGAUAUCUGAUUAGCUAGUUGGUAGGGUAAAGGCCUACCAAGGCGACGAUCAGUAGCUGGUCUGAGAGGACGACCAGCCACACUGGGACUGAGACACGGCCCAGACUCCUACGGGAGGCAGCAGUGGGGAAUUUUGGACAAUGGGCGCAAGCCUGAUCCAGCAAUGCCGCGUGAGUGAAGAAGGCCUUCGGGUUGUAAAGCUCUUUUGUCAGGGAAGAAACGGCCGAGGCUAAUACCUUUGGCUAAUGACGGUACCUGAAGAAUAAGCACCGGCUAACUACGUG
rnacentral:rRNA from 1 species